GGGUUGUGAGGUUAAGCGACUAAGCGUACACGGUGGAUGCCCUGGCAGUCAGAGGCGAUGAAGGGCGUGCUAAUCUGCGAUAAGCGCCGGUAAGGUGAUAUGAACCGUUAUAACCGGCGAUACCCGAAUGGGGAAACCCAGUGUGACUCGUCACACUAUCAUUAACUGAAUCCAUAGGUUAAUGAGGCGAACCGGGGGAACUGAAACAUCUAAGUACCCCGAGGAAAAGAAAUCAACCGAGAUUCCCCCAGUAGCGGCGAGCGAACGGGGAGGAGCCCAGAGCCUGAAUCAGCAUGUGUGUUAGUGGAAGCGUCUGGAAAGGCGCGCGAUACAGGGUGACAGCCCCGUACACAAAAGCGCAUGUGCUGUGAGCUCGAUGAGUAGGGCGGGACACGUGGUAUCCUGUCUGAAUAUGGGGGGACCAUCCUCCAAGGCUAAAUACUCCUGACUGACCGAUAGUGAACCAGUACCGUGAGGGAAAGGCGAAAAGAACCCCGGCGAGGGGAGUGAAAAAGAACCUGAAACCGUGUACGUACAAGCAGUGGGAGCCCCACCACUAAGCCAGUGGUGAACUCCACAUACGCAUCCUUUGCUGAGGAUACGGUUAACGGAGCGAAAGCGACGUUCAACCGCAAAAGAAGCAGAGGGGGCUUAGUGGUGGGG
rnacentral:rRNA from 1 species